rnacentral:rRNA from 1 species
AGGGUUCGAGUUCUGGCUCAGGACGAACGCUGGCGGCGUGCUUAAUACAUGCAAGUCGAACGGAGCUUAGCUGAUAGUUACUAGAGGCGAAAGCUUAGUGGCGGACGGGUGAGUAACGCGUGGGUAAUCUGCCCCUAAGUCCGGGAUAACAGAGCGAAAGUUCUGCUAAGACCGGAUACUCUUUACCAGUUGCAUAACGGGUAAAGGAAAGGUAACGCUUAGGGAUGAGCCCGCGUCCCAUUAGCUAGUUGGUGAGGUAACGGCCCACCAAGGCGACGAUGGGUAGCCGGCCUGAGAGGGUGGACGGCCACAUUGGAACUGAGACACGGUCCAGACUCCUACGGGAGGCAGCAGCUAAGAAUCUUCCGCAAUGGGCGAAAGCCUGACGGAGCGACGCCCGCGUGAACGAAGAAGGCCGUGAGGUUGUAAAGUUCUUUUCGGGAGGGGGAACGAGGCUGCCAGGCAAUGGGCGGCCGAUGACGUGAAUCCCGGAAUAAGCCCCGGCUAACUACGUGCCAGCAGCCGC